GACGAACGCUGGCGGCGUGCUUAACACAUGCAAGUCGAACGGUAAGGCCCUUCGGGGUACACGAGUGGCGAACGGGUGAGUAACACGUGGGUGAUCUGCCCUGCACUUCGGGAUAAGCCUGGGAAACUGGGUCUAAUACCGGAUAGGACUCCUGGCUUCAUGGUUGGGGGUGGAAAGCUUUUGCGGUGUGGGAUGGGCCCGCGGCCUAUCAGCUUGUUGGUGGGGUAAUGGCCUACCAAGGCGACGACGGGUAGCCGGCCUGAGAGGGGGACCGGUCACACUGGGACUGAGCUACGGCCCAGCCUCCUACGGGAGGCAGCAGUGGGGAAUAUUGCACGAUGGGCGCAAGCCUGAUGCAGCGACGCCGCGUGAGGGAUGACGGCCUUCGGGUUGUAAACCUCUUUCAGCUAUGACGAAGCGCAAGUGACGGUAGUAGCAGAAGAAGGACCGGCCAACUACGUGCCAGCAGCCGCCGUAA
rnacentral:rRNA from 1 species